rnacentral:lncRNA from 1 species
AUUUAUUAUAAGGUUAGCUGCACAAAAGGUAAUUGGGAACAAGAAGGUUACAUGGGUAAGAGGAACCAAAGCUGAAACAGCAAGAUUGAGUGUUUACAAAAAAUAGAUAUAUAUAUUUUCUGAAGAAUCCUAUAGAACACACAAAAGAGGAAAAGGAAAGAAAAACAGAAGGCAGACCUGAGAAGGGGGUGGAAAUGUCUACACAUUCUGUUGGCCCUUUGCACAAGUACUUAUUUUGGAAUGUUUCUAUGAGUGCAUGAAGCCAUCACUUAAUUUGUAUGAAAGAACCAAGUGAAUGGCUGGAGAUGAAUGAUCACACAUUUCUUUAUAUUAUGAUGCCUUAAAACCUAGAUAAUAAACCAAAUAAUUUUUGCUCCAUCUGUAUCACUUUCCUUUUUCCAUAUAAGGAAAAUCAGUAGCGAUAUUGAAUAUCCCUAAAGGAACAGGAAAACAAUAUCUGCCUAAAAUAUUUAUUACCUGUACCUAGUUUUUAAAAGAGAUUUAACUAUAAGCAAAUAGUUUAAAAAAAUCAACCAAUAACAUAACUUCACUUAGCCUCAAGAAGAUGUAAAAUAACUGUCAUCAUCUUUUGUAAAAUAUGUCAAUAUAUUGGUGACCUGGGCUAUUGGAGAAAUCACUGCAAGGAAAUGCUAUGCACUUCAGCUAUAUUAAAGAAAUGUCAAAACAAAACCAACACUGCCUCUCACCUUUAAGUCCAUCCCAAACAGAAGUGUGAACAUAGCAUUAAAGAGUCCAUUACUUACAAUGUCUAAUAUCAUUAGAAAACAUCUCUUUGGGGCCUGGAUAUUUCUCAAUACCUAUACAUAUUCCAAGGGGUCCACAACCUUACCUAUUCCAAUCUAUGGAAGAACUAGUGAAAACCAACAUUGUCAUAUGAAGAAAGAAGAUGCAUUAUAUUCAUGAAAAAGACAUACAAUGUACUUUUAGUAAUAUUGAUUUUACCUGAGUUAUUGGAUGUCAUACUAUAUCCAUCAAAAUUGUGCACAUCACAAAUAAAACCUUGCAACAUCAGGCCUUUUCUCUUACCAAAAACUUUGUGAUUCAAUUUUAAAAUAAUUCCUAUAUGAUAAUAAAAGCAAUUCAAUCUGAUAUUUCCUAAUUGAAGCUCCCAGUGCUCCUAUGAUCUAUAGAUCCCAUGUAGUAUUUUUUUUUUGUCUUCCCUCAAUUUGGGGACAGGGAAGGGAAGGGAUGAAAAAGGGGAGGAAUUUCACCCAAAUAUAUUCCUUGAAAACUUUUAGAUGUGUCUGCUGAGGGUGAGAAGACUGUGGCUGAUUUGAGUAGAUUAGGAAAUCAUUGGUUUAUAAUUUGUUUCUGGUUAGUGCCCUGGAUAUUUUAUUGACAUCAUGAUCAUGCUCUUACUUUAUGUCCAUCUAAUAUUUUAAAUAUGAUUUUAUGUGUUCAUGUGUUUUUAAAGCCCCAAAUUAUGAGUAUGCAUUAUGAGUUUGCCAUAUAGAAUAAAAAUGUAGGCUUUUUAAUUCCAUUGCAUUAUUAGAAUAGGAAAGACAUUUAUUCAGGAAAAAAUGUUCAAGGAAUAGUAACCAAACAGCAUAAUGAAAAUCAGCCUUUUCUAUGACUUAAAAAAUGUGGAAUUUCUUUUUCUUUUUAUUUGUUUUGAACAGUUAUUACUAUAUAACAUGCCACCUUUUUUAAUCUUAGUUGUUUUAUUUUUAGGUUUAGAAACUAUUCAGAGAAAGGAGUGAGGAGAAGAGAUUACUUAGAAAAGCUAUUUAAAUUUACCUAUUCGUGGAAAGCUGAGAUAUAAUUCUGUUUCACCUCCAUUAAAGUGUCAUUGAGACAACAGUGUACAGCAGAUUUUUAAAAGGUGUUCUUUGUGGGAUAAGAUUAGCUGAGACAAGUUAUUUGGUUGUAUUAUAGAUUCCCAUUAUUUUUGCUCAACAUUUUUAGUGAUUAAAAAAUUAGGACCAAACCAUCAUUAAGUGCUCAAAAAUCUAUUUUAUAUUUUUAAACCCAAAGAGUUAAAUAGCAAUAGUUAUUAUCUCAAUUAUCAUUUUAUAAAUAAUGGCAAAAAUAACUUAAAACCUUUGAAAAGAGUAGUAUAAAAUGCUCAUGAGAAUCUAUUAAUCUAGCAAAAUAAUUCUUUUGGUAGUCUUUGAUUUCCACAUUUCUAGUGAUGCUCAUUUCCUUCUAUUAAGAAAAAUCCAAUGUUUGUCAACAAUGAGUAGACAAAGUUUUCACAAGCAUAGACUCCCACAAAAAUGAAACAAAAAAAGGAAAGAAAAAAAGAAAGAUAUGGUACAGUAGAAGGCAUGCAUUCUAGGUCAGCAGCCUAGGCUAGUACCUCUCAUAUACCAGGUCAAUAUAGGAGCAAUUAAUAUUGCUGAAUGAAAUAUCUUUGAUUAGAUUUUAUAUCUAUCGAUCCAUUUUCCUUAAUUUGGUUGCCUGCUUUCUUUAAGAUUUAGCGAUGAGUAGCUUUUAUUUCUAAAUGUUUAAAAAAUUUCUUUGCUUGCUCCUUGACCAUUUUUAUUGUAAUAUAACAUACUUAUCCCUGAAGUAAUACUUUAAUGAGUACAUUUUUAGCCACUGCCCUGUAAUGUAACUCCUUAGAUGGAUCAGAUGUUCUUUUAACCACUUCAUAAUUUUUAUGCUACAUCAUACUACAAAAAAGUAUGCUAACUAUUCUUUGGGUGAGUCAUAUGAUUGAGUUACUUAUUAAGCAUCUAAUAUGUGCUCCACAUUUUGCAUGAAGGUUAACAUAGACUUUGCAUGCAACAAAAAGACAGUGUCUUCAGUAUAUCACUUAUUAAUGUUAAUAAUAAUUAGUAUAUGGCUAUCUAUCAUAAAUAGAUAGAAAGAAAAUUAAGCCCUUAAAGUCUUUACUACCAAAUAUUUAUGGAAGCAGAAAACUAAAUCCUCAGCUUGAUCUUUGGUGGAUACUUUUUGAUUAGCAUUAGGAAAGAAUAGGAGUAUUCACCAGAGCCAAAUUCAUUCAAUAUACUACUAUGUAGUUGUAUAAAAUGAUAUUUUUACCUUUUUUCCCAUUGUCUACACAUAAAUUUAUAUCUUUGGGUUUCUCUAUCUAUGGCACUAUAGUUCUUUACUGUUGCCCUAUAUUUCUUUAUUAAUAGCUCUUUUCCAAGUUUAGAAUUCAGUACCAAAUCCCAAAUCUUUUGAUUUCUCAUUUGUCAUCAAUAGAUGCUUGAUCUUUUAAAGGUCCAUGACAAAGACAUUCUCAAAGGAGGAGAAAAAAAAACAAAACUUUCAAACUAUCAACCUCUUAACAAAACUAAAAAUUAGCCACUUAAUUCUGAAGAAUUGAUAUAUGGGUAGAAUGCACAUAUAUGUUGAAGUCUGGAUAGGAUCACUGUUUAACUUGGCUCUCUCUGCAGCUGGUCUUGGAUGCUAAGUUUUAACUGCCAUAGAAUUACAUUUUGGAAAUAUUCUUUGGUUAUUAGAAGGACAGACAUCAUGAUAGUGCAGUAUAGUUCUGGCUUUGCCAUUAACUACCACCUAUAUGAUUCCAAUUGGGUAAGUCACCUACUCUGUCUAGGUCUUGACUUCCUCCACUAUAAGAAAGAGGACAGUUCAACUAAGUAAAAGUUUAACAAUCCAAAAUUUCAAAACAAGGAGAGGAAUGAAAUUCUUCAUUUUGGAUUUCUUUGCUCUUCAUAGCCUUCACUUAAUAGUUCCUGAGUUUGGUUCAUGAGAUUGGUAUCAUAAGCUCUGCAUAAAGAGGGAGCAAGGAAUAGAAAAAUUGGGGUUAAGGAAAUGGGGAAAAAGUCAGUUUUAAUAAUAAUUUUUAAUAAAAUAAAGACUUCAAAGCUUUGCAUAAUGGCAACAAUUUGUUGGCAUCAGUCUAUGAAGUGGUAUUGAGAAUUAUUAAAUUAAAUGAAUUCUCCAAUUCUUUCUUGCUCUAAAAUUAUAAAAUGCCACUAGAUGUUUCUAGUGCUAUGUUUCAAUGCUCUGUUCUUAACCACUUUCUAUGGGACAGUUUUUUCAGUCACUUUAGUGAAGGCAGUGAUAGAAUACUUAAAAAAUUUGCAUGUGAUAGGAAAUGAGGAUGGACAACUAUUUUCCUGAAACAGAAUUCAGGAUUUUCUCUAAACCACCUUAAAGUUUAGAAUUAUGGGCUAAAAUCAGGAAGAAAUAUAAUAGGGACAAAUGUAAAAUCCUGCAUCCAGUCCCUGCUUCUGCUCUAUCCCAAUCAAUUGCAUAAGCAUUUGAUGUCAAGGUGGCAGUUGAUGUGAUAUAUAUCUAGGAUUUAUUUUUGCAAGAUGUAAAUUCAAAAUUUAUUUUCAGUGUAACAUGAGAGUACUACAGCUUAAAUGCAAUCUUAGGGGAUGGUAACAGAGCUAUUAUUUUCUGAAUAAAGGAAGUAAUGUUUCCAUUGCACACUGCUCUGUGCUCACCACAUCUGGAAUAUGAUUUUCAAUUUUAAGUGCCAAAUUCACAAGCUAGAAAGUGUGCAGAGGAAGGAUUCUGAAAAUGAAGACUCUAUUUCAUUUCAUAUAUGUAUUGAUUGAUAUAAUUGGAGAUGUUUUCCUGAAGAAAAGAUAGUGAUGACCAUCUUCAAAUGUUCAAUGAAUUAUUAUAUGAAAUAUAGAUCAGACUUAUUACUCUUAGACCUAGAGUAUGGAAUUUUCAAGGAAAUAGAUUUCAGCUGACUUAUAACAGUUAUAAUAAAAUAAGAAACAACUUAUUAACAAUUAGAAUCAUUCAAAGAGGCAAUAAAGUACUUUCAAAACUAGGAAUUUCUUUUCACAAGAGGUCUUCAAACAAAAUCUGCAUGACUUUGUCAGGGAUGCUGGUUCAUGCUUCUGGAAGGCAUGAGAAUAUAUGAUCUGUAUGGUCUUUUUAAAAUAUAAGGCUCUAUAAUUCAUAUGAAUCAUUCUAAUAAUAAGGAUCCAAGAUAAAAUGGGGCUACAGAAAAACUGGAAAUACAUAAUAGAUUCAUUGUAACCUUAUCUUUAAUAAAGGGCAAAUUUUCACCUUUAUUUGAAAAUAGCAAGCUAGCAAGUGAGGUAAUGGGUGACAUUUUAAAGGUUAUCAGUUAUGAUUGUCAGAAUUCUAUUUAAUUAUGUAGUUACAGAAACUUCCUCACAUAAUAACAUAAAGUAAGCAAACCAAAGUCACAUUACUAUACAUUGGUAAUUGCAUUAAGUAAUUAUACAUUAAAGAACAUUAAUUCCAUUAUCCAAAGUAUUAAUCAUGCAAAGUCAUGAAUAAAUAGAUUCUUCUGUCCAUCUUCCCCAUGCUUGUAUUUUUAAAAGCAUAAAAUCAUCAUUCAAAUUUUACAUUUAUGUAGUUUUUCUUUUUUUGUUUUUCACUUUUGAAAUGUUCAUAGAACAACAGAUAACAAACACUGGACCUAUGCUAUUAGAUUUGUUUAGAAUAGAGCUGGAUGUGGAAAGUGUAAAUUCAAGAGAAACUAGUUUAUUUCAACUAAACAUGCCAUCCUUUCUAUGGCUAGGAGAAAAAUUUACAACCAAAAAAUAAUUUUUAAAAAAAUUAAUGUGUUAAUUUUAUUGCCAUCUCCCCACUGUGAUUUUUUCUCUUGCCAGAUAUGUUCAUUUUUGUCUUGGGGAUUAUGAAUCUUUUCUAUUCUACUUCAAAUAUUUCAGUUAACACUUAAGUACUUACAGAUAUUUGAUCUUGAAAGGGAUAUUGUAAAUCACAACAAUAUAAACUGAAUUUUUUCCCCAUAGAAACAAUGAUAGAAUAGUGAGUUAUACUCAACCAACAAUCUACUAUUCAAUUUUUAAAGAAAUGAACUUGAAUAACAUAUCGAAUCAAUUGUUUAAUCAAUUAUAAAAGACAUACCUAUGUACUACUCAAUACAGGAUUUUCUAAAACGUUUAUGAAGCAAUUAAAUGAAGUGAAGGGCUAAAGAGUUACAAAGAAAUGAUUCAAGAGUGGGGACAAAUCUGGAGUCAAAAUCAAGUGAUACACUAGGAAAGCCUGUGGAUGGUAAACAGGAAGAUCCUCCGGGAGAGAGCUAUAGAGAGAUAACUUGGAUAAAUUGGUCAGGUCAAUAAGUUGUGCAGUUUGCUGUAAAAGAACAAUAGCUAAAGGUCCAGGUGUUACUGGCAAAGUGAUAUAUGUUAAAUACUAUAAGUUGAGAACUGCUUAUAACCAGAAGAUUAUAUAAUUUCCUUUAUUGAGUUUUAAAACUUCUUGUUGAACCAUAUGGCUAUGUUUUCAUUUUUAAUUAUUAAAAGCAUGUACAAAAUUUACUAUGAUUUGCACAUAAAAGGAUGUAUUAAACAAAAUUUUGUAAAUAAAAAUUUCCUUUCCCAUUAACUUGUAUUAUGUAUUUCAGAAAUAUAUUUUUUCCAAACUAAGUUUGAAUUGGCAAGAAAAUUCUCAUAUUCUACCUAUAUAUUUCUAUCCAUCUUUAUGUUAAAGAGCAACAAGUAAUCCUCAAACACCCUAGAUAGUCUUUUAAUUUAAGGGAUCUUACAUGAGUACUUUAUAUCAGACUUUCUUAAAAUAGGGAAUGCACAUAAUACUUAUGGGCAAUUUAGUUGAAUCAAGGGAGCAGUAAAAUCCCCAAAUGGUGACACGCUAAUAUGACAACUAGAUUGUAUUUAUACUCUGCCUUCAUUUGUCCAGAUCAGCUGGUAUUGGAAAGAAUAUGGUUUCUCAUAUUAUUCAUGUAAGUUUGUCAAGAAAUGGAAUGAAUUUGGUCUAUUUUCAAUUCUCACUGAAUUGCAUGUCUCGAAACAUUGAAAUGUUUGAUGAGAACUUGAAUAUAAUAACUAUUAAAAUUAGAUAAAAUGCUUUUUUUCAUUACAAAUGAAAUUUAUAGGCCAGAAAAAGAAAACUUAGCCAAUUUCUUGACAACUCAUAUGAAAACAAGCCCAGAGAAGGAUAUAAAAUGAAAAUUUAUCCAUUAAAUAGACAUAUAGAAUUAAAGAGAAAUUCUUCUGUUUCAAACUAGUCUCAUAUCUCCCUUAAAUCCUGAUGAGAGGUCAAGGGCCCAACAAGGAAAGAAGCAGGAAGUCAUAAAAGCAAAAUCUAGACUUAAAUUUUCUUUAAAAUAUCAUGUUUACCAGCAAUACACAAACCUAAUUGCAUUUAAAUUAUAUUUUAAAAAGCUUUUGUAGCACAUGAGGAAAAUUCAAACUGAUGAUACAAAAAAGUAGAAAAUUUCAAGUAAAGUAAAAAUGAUCUUAUUUUCCUUUGUAAUUCAAACUCUCAGAUUUUACACUUUUAUGUAACAUUAACAACUAUCAUUUAUUUGCCUAGGAAGGGUGCGUAACUGAUUGCAAAAUAUUUACAACAUAAAGUGUUGCAGAAAUAGUUAAAUAGUAAUAGUAAUCACAAUUAUAACAUGAUGAAUUUCUAGGAAUACAGAGCAUAGCAAUUUAAAAUUCUCUAAAUUAAUUAUCAUUUAGCGUCAAUAAAUUCUAACUUCAAACACAGAACUCAGCAAUCAUCUAUAGCAUACUAUAAAAACUAAUAGUGCCUGCAAAAUUUUUGGCUGGCUCUAGGGGAAAAUGUCAGAAAACUAUGGGGAUAGCAAUUCAUUUCUGAGUGAGAAUCAUAAUAAAUAUGCUCUAUUAAAAUGUUCAGAGAUGAGCUUAGGGAAGGCUGGAAUAGGAAAAAGAGUGAAAAAAUUAAUUUGGUUAUGCUCUUCCCUUCUUGGAGUUGAUAAAAAGAGUAUAUAGAAGCCUAAAAAGGAAGACAUGAAGCCAUGUAAUUACAAUCCAAUGAAGGAAAGAAUAUUGCAUUGUGAACUAGGUGAUCUGUUCUAGUCCCAGCUCUACCACUACUAAUUAUAUGACCUAGAGAAAAUCAAUUAAUCACUUCAGGCCUCACUUUCCCCAUCUGUACAAUAAAGAGGUUGGAACCCUUUUAUCUCUAAAAUUCUAUGACAAACUGGAAAAUACAUAUGUAAAAAAAACAGCCACUUCACUUUCACAAGCACUAUAAUACUUGUAUCUGUCAACAAUAACAAUUGUAGAAAAGAUUCAGGCAAGAUGAUAAAAAUGCCAAAAAUAGAAUUUUGAAAAAGGCUUGGGAAGCUCCAUGAAAAGAGGGGAAUAGAAAUUUAACCUUGCCUAUAACUUCUUAUUUAUAUCUGCAGAGAAUGAGUAAAUGAAUCUGUUGAUGCUUCUGUUCAGAAAUUUAGCCCCCAAAAUAACCCUCAAAUGACAUUACAUCUGCAGAAUGGUGUAUAACUUAUAUGCAGGUCUGAAUUCUCUUUCUCCUAAUUAUCUGCUGCAAGACCAUUUUGUUACAAAUUCUUCUAGUUAAGUCAUUGCCAGAAAUUGAGAGAACAAAUCUUUGCUUGGUCUAAUACAAACAACCCUCUUUUGCAUUUUUCCAAGACAAUGGAAAGCUAGUAUUAUGCUUUUUAAAAGUUUAUUUAUCCAGAAAAACAUUAGGCAUGGCCAUCUUGAUAAAGUUGUUUAAAUAUAUACUGCUUUCAUUUUGGGUAUUUUUAGGUACUUAAAAAUUACAUAUAUGUAUAUUUAUAUGUGUGUGUAUGUAUAUAUAAAUAUACAUACACACACACACACACACACACACACACACACACACACUAAAUCUCAAUCCCAUUCAAGCCCCAGUAUUUCCUCUUUCUUUUAGCCUUCAAAACCAGAUUUGUAGUUCGUUACUUGAACACUCUUUUUAGCUUAUUUUUCAUUAUGCUCAUUUAAAGAGAUUGUCAGAAUAUUUUUGUGGUAAAGAAAUCAUUUUUAAAAGAUUUUUGAAAUGUUGGGUAAAGGCAAUGGCACAAAAUCCAGCUUAUCUGAAAAUAUCUUUAAUAUCUACCAUAAAGAUACUAUGCGCAGUAAACUGGCCUAGAAAGAAAGCAAUAAAUUCAUUUCUUUGUCAGGCUACUCUUUUCUAUAAGGGAUAUCAAGUGUAAACUUUUACAAUUAAAAAUGAUACAAUGAAUUUUUUAAAAAAAUCAUUAUCCAUUGAAAUGGAUAUUUGAAUGGCAUAUUGAAAAGAUCAUCUAAAUAGUUUCCAUCUGAAGAGUUGAUGCUCAGUUUUACUAAAUGCCUCUUUAUUCUAUACAUACGCUACGAACAUCUUACUAUAUAAGUAGUUAUAGAUUUUAAUACAGUAAAAAGAAAUUGUGUCUGUGACCGAAACUGAGUCAAAAAUAACUGAAACUUACAUUACAAAUUUUUUUCUUGGUGUCUAAAUAAAUAAUAAAUGAUAAAAUUGUACUUUCUUUUUUACCCCAUCAAGAUAAUGGGUAUUGAACAAUGCUAUUUUGUAUUUCCUUUAUUUUAAAUAUAGCAUCUACAUAUGCUAUUAAUUCUAUACAUAUUAUAGCAUUAGCAGGAGAAAACCAGUCUGAAAGGAAAAAAAAAAUCUUUGAAAAACCACAUGUAUUUGAGUCUCAGAAAAUCUGACAUUUUCUGUAAUAGAUUCAUUUAGCCUUCCCUUCUUUUCAUUAACUUUGAAGUGAAACUAUGGCUAUUUUAAUUUACCAGUACCCAUUCACAGUAUUUCCUCCAUUCAUCCUUUUGAAUAAAGAACCUAAAGGUUAUCUGUGGUCCAUUCUCACCCUUCCUACCUUUGACAAUUUUACAUGCAAAUUGGGGGAAUAAUUCAGUCUUCAAGGGGAAGGAAAUGGUCUGUAAAUGGCAGGGACAUCUUCAGCAAAACCUCAGACUGGUUUAUUUUAGCUGACCCAAGUUGAAUUCAUUUUAUGAAGUCCCAUAUGAUUGAGAUUGCAACUACAUUUGGUUGGUUGAAAAGAAACUUAACCGCUUGUCAUUUUUAUUACAACACACAUUACUUAGUGAAUAGAAUAUUAUGUUAAAAUAAAUUCUCCUAUUUGUUCACUUUGCAGUUUUAUUUCAGCUACAGUUGCACCGAGUGUGUAUAUGCAAAGGUGUGCCAAAAUAAGUGCAAAAAUGGAACAAGAUAUUUGAUAGCAUUACUUCUUAUUUUGAUAAGUUUCAGUUAAAAACUGAGGAAGGAAAUCAAUCUAUCUGCCUCUCUGUCUCUUUCUCUCCUUUACUUCUUUUCAGAAUGAACUGGUCCAACUAGACCUGAUCUUUAUUAAUUUAUUCACUGAUAACUAAGGAUCAGAUCCAAAUAUUGUUUCCUAAACAACUUCACUGCAGGUAUUAUGGGUCCCCAUAAGCCAACCUAAGAGCAGACGUAGCUGAUUAGCUGAACCCUCCCAUAUACUGUCUGUGCACCCUGCAUAUUUAUAAAGCUGAGACAUGAAUUAGACCUCCUGAGGACCUUCCCCCAUUAGUCCCAUGUGGAACCUUGUGGUCUCUAGGCAACAGCUCAACUGAGCGAGGCAAUGGAGAGACAAUCUCUCUCCCUCUGGAUGAGGCUCCACCAGGAGCUGUGCAAAAAUGGUCUCAGCUGGAAGUUGUUCUGCUAUAGCAUAGGCUUGGCAUCCAAAAGCAAAUGCCAUAAGCUAAAGUAAUGCAAAGCAAUUUCAACCCUGAAAAGCGGGAUUUCAGGGUCGGAGCUCUCAGCCAAGAAGACAGGUGGAAAAUGCCUGAAACUAAGUAUAACUGAGAGGUCACAACCCAGUCCAGACAACAUCC